rnacentral:rRNA from 1 species
UCGGCCCCUUUCUUGGUCAUUUAGAGGAAGUAAAAGUCGUAACAAGGUUCCCUCCCCAUCUGAGCCUCGGAGACCUUGCACGCCUCUGGGGGGGCAGCCCACUAUAAAUAAGGCUGGCCACUUGCAAGUUGACCGUGAGGUCAGCGAAUAAUCGAAUUGACGGGGACUUCUUAAAGCCUGCAGCACCACCUAGACGGGAAACCCGUUUAGUACGGUAAGAGCCUGUACGAUCACAAUGGAUAAUCGCAACCGAGCCCCUACUGCGAAAGCCACCGGGAAGGUUCACAUACUAGGGAUUAUGGGUCCAGCCGCUUGUUGGAUCUGAUAUAUACUCGGUCUCUGGGGAAAUCCCAGGGGUUUCAGCGUCCCUAAGUGAACCUGCGGAAGGAUCAUAAUGUAACCGGACCGGUCCUUUGCCGUAAAACGCACCGGAUUGGAAAGGAGAUAUCAUACACCCGGUGUUUAUUUACCUUUGUUGCUUUGGCGGGCCUCCUUUAGGCGUCGGCCCCGGCUGAUCGCGCCCGCCAGAGGACCCAAACCUUUUAUCACUGAUGUCUGAGUACUAUAUAAUAUUUAAAACUUUCAACACGGAUCUCUUGGUUCUGGCAUCGAUGAAGAACGCAGCGAAAUGCGAUAAUAAUGUGAAUUGCAGAAUUCAGUGAAUCAUCGAAUCUUUGAACGCAGUUGCGCCCGCUGGUAUUCCAGCGGGCAUGCCUGUUCGAGCGUCAUUAUGACAAUCAAACUCUGCAUGGCCUUGGGGCCCGCUGUACUGGCGGCCCUUAAAUUAGUGGCGGUGCAGUCUGGCUCUUAGCGUAGUAAUACUUCUCGCUAUAGGUCCAGUCGCUUACCUGCCUCAACCCCCACUUUCUUCGUUUACCUCGGGCAGGUAGGGUACCAGCU